CGUCGCCACGGUAAUACGAAGGUGGCAAGCGUUGUCCGGAAUUAUUGGGCGUAAAGGGCUCGCAGGCGGUUUCUUAAGUCUGAUGUGAAAGCCCCCGGCUCAACCGGAGAGGGUCAUUGGAAACUGGGAAACUUGAGUGCAGAAGAGGAGAGUGGAAUUCCACGUGUAGCGGUGAAAUGCGUAGAGAUGUGGAGGAACACCAGUGGCGAAGGCGACUCUCUGGUCUGUAACUGACGCUGAGGAGCGAAAGCGUGGGGAGCGAACAGGAUUAGAUACCCGCGUAGUCCCUGUCUCUUAUACA
rnacentral:rRNA from 1 species